UCUUUCCUGUCAUGAGUUUCUUUCUCAACUCAUUUAGUUCCAGGUUCAGUGAUUCCUCGUUCUUUGCAUCCUCCCUUGUAUCUCACCACUGUUUCCAUUUCUCUGCAGCAGCUGUUUGUUCCUCUGAUAAAGAUGUCUCCUCAGAUCCUGUGUCACAGAACCGUGAUGCAGAGGCAGCCUCCAAAAGCUCUCUAGGUGGCUGAAAUAUCUGAAAAUCUUUUUUUGUUUGUUGAAGCAAAUGCAGAUAAGGUUUUUGGAGAGGAACACGAGUUCUUCUGUUUUCACAUACAAUUUUUAGACCCCAGUUUUGGAGGUCUAAGAAUUUUGAGUAGGACUUCAAACGUAUAUAUGAUCGUAAUAUUUUUUAUAGAGGUCUGACCAGCGUUCUAAAGCCAACUCGUACCGUAUUCCUGAUAUUUUCAGAAAGCCUUAAAAAGCAAGUACCCCUGCCUGCUUCCUCAAACUCCCGAUUACUACAAUCACACUUGGAGUAGAAGAGUCUACCGCAGUGCUAUUGAAAAGAUUUAUUUCAAAACAGUAUUUUAGUUUGAGCCUUUGUGGUUUCAAGGCCAAGAUUGCUUAUCCCAUUUCAACUAAGAAGAAUAAAAGGGAAGAAGCCUGCAAAAAGUUCACGUUCCUCUCUCUAACAUCAAGUUGCUAAGUAACUACUAGUAUAAGACCUCACUCCUGAAGAACACCUCCUAAUUUUUGCCUUUCAGAUUUUCAUGCAGCAUAAAGGGUGAGCACGUAUCUGAAGUAUAACAUCAGCAUGUCACAACUGUGGGAAGAACAAAGAACGUAUAAUUGUUCAGAUUUCUUUAGUCAUACUUGCCAUGACCCCAUGAAUAUUACUUUGGAAACCACAAGAAUUUCUCUGUGCUACUGACUGCUUUGCCACCGAGAUCCUCUCACUGCUAGUGACAAUUUGCCUUUCUCAAGGAAAUGUCCUCAGUGGCCUCUACAGGGGGAUCAAAGUUCAUUAAGCAAGGAUCUUACUUCCUAACACUUCUAAGUAAAUGUUAUUACUCUACUUUCUUAAAGUGACUUUUUUUUUUUUUUUUUUUUGUCUUUGUAGUUACAUAGCUUUCCAUAAAAUACAAAUUAGUUUUGUCCUAAGCCACCACAAUAGCCUGUUUCCUUUGAGGAAAGAUCUAAAUAGGUAACAGGAAACAGAGCAGCAGAGCAAUCUUCUCACACUGCCCUUUUUGACCUGAUGUUCACUCUAGGGCAAGAAUGCUCUGUGGGUCAAGCUAUUAUUUAAUCAUUCAUUUAAAGACUGCUGGAUAUAGCUGGGGGUAGCUCAGGCCCAUGGAUUCCUCACUUCUAAAAAACAGAUCGACUCUUUAGAAGUUAGGCUUUUUUCAAAAAUAUAUGUAUUUUUUUCAAGUGUGAUUUCUCAAGUCAUGCUUCGGUCUACUCUGAAAAUCAGAACGUAACUUGAGAGUGAUGAAAUGUUUGUUCCCAUAAAGUAAAUGUUAUAUGCGUUCUUCUACAUAAAGAACAUAAUAGGACACUUCAGAACAUAAACGAAGCACGUAUAUAUAUACAUACAUACACACACACAAACUUUCCUACGUUUGAGGUCUUGAGGUCUUGACUUGCUUCAAAUAGUUUACAGUAAGAGUUAACAGAGUUAGAUUUACUCUAAGACACGUUUAAGGGAAUCUUUGUUAGUGCCACAACAUAGAAAGGCAAUGAUUAUAACACUUAUUUCCUUGUCUUAUCAAAUCAUUGUCAGUAAAAUAUAAUUCAGCAGUAAAACAACUGAAAAAACAGAAGAGUGAAAACAUAAGCAUACAUGUCAACAGCAGCAAUACAUAGUCUGCAUUGUACUAGAUCAGCUAAGGUUGAUCCCCUGACAGAAAUGUCAAAUAAAACUACUCCAUGUAACAAAGUGGUUGAAAACCAGGAUGCAAAUAAGAAGGCUUACAUGCCAUAGAAAAUAAUACAAGAAAAAUGAUUCAGUAGCAAGUUACACAGCACUGCCAGAGCACUUUUACAACUGUGACAGUUUCCUCAUAUUACAAGGUAAAGAACUACAGAACAGCUGGUUUAGUGACAUGGUGAAAGUCACAGCGAAGUGAGAUUGGACCCAACUCUCGCUGCAACCCAGAUUUUUAUCAUCAAAUUGGACAAGUAAUAAUCAAACUUUGCAGUCCAGCAUCUGAAUAGAUCUCAGACACAUUGUGGGAUAGAUAUAUUCAAGCUACGUAUGCCAUUUGUCUAGUAUUUAUCUGUGUGCAUCUCUCAAAACUGCUCAGCCUUACAGUUUUCUCAGAAUUCUAGUUAAAUGUAUUUGAGCUAUUGCUGAAGAAGUAAAACUUCUUCAACAGAAGUAAAAUAAGUUAGAAGUUAAUAAGUUAGGUUGUUGAAGAAGUUUUACUUCUUUACUGUUGAAGAAGUAAAACUUCUUCAACAACCUAACUUAUUAACAAUUUUUAAUCUUUUUUUUUUUAAUGGUCUGCAGACAUUUAAGGAUUCUUUUUACUUUGUCCAAGAGCAGGCAUUGUGACAGUACAAAAUCAAUUCCUUGACUCCAUACACAAUCAGCAUUUAUAGACAUCUGCAAGCUCCCCAUGUUAUUUGUGUGCAGUUUCAAUUCACAGCUGAGAAACAUAACAAUCAAACAAAAUUAAAUAGUACACUCAUAACAAAGUCAAAAUGUACAUUUCAUUAGCUGUUAUACUGAAAAAUGUAUUUAAUUCACCACAAAUCAUCUUUAAUUUUCAAAUUCAUACGUUGCUUGCUCCUACUAGACUAACCAUUAACAUUUGGGCAAUCUAGAAGCAAUUUCAAGACCUCCAGUCAAGCUUGUUUUUUGCAGUAUUAACACCAAAUCUAAUUUAAAAUUUGCAGUGACACCAUGGUAUUGUAAUAAAUUCUUUCUUUAGAAAAAAUAUAUGCAUGUGCCAAAUUCUCAUACUUGGCAGGCAAAGCACAAUUAUGCAGUAUUCUUUCUAUUCUGAAGACAGCAAAUGACAUCCAGUUCUUCACAGUGGAAGAAAGUUACACUAAAGAAAGUUACAUUAAGCACAAAGAGACUAACCAUAGCUGCUGUGCUAUAGUCAGAAGCGUUAUUAAGUUUGCAUUAUAAGAGCAUGGGAUUUCAAAAAACUGCAUAAUCAGAGAGUUUCAAACAAUACAUGCAAAAUCAAGGAGUGGUUCUGCUCUUCCGCUGAACCAGACCCCAAACACUCAUUGGUUUGCCAGUCAGGAAUGUACAUAGUAGAAAAAGAUACAGAAAAGAAAAAACAUGUUCAAGAGUGUAAGUGUUCUUCUACAGCUCAGGUAAAACAGCAAUAUUAAAAAGCAAAGCAGAAGAGUUUUAAUUUUUAAAAGCACAAACGUGCUAUUGGAAAAUGUGGCUGACUCAAAAAUUCUGGCUGGAGUUUUCCCUGACUGAAGUGCUAAUCUCAGCAUGGCAACUUGCAUGUGCAUUCCUUUUUGUGGGUCAGAACGUAGCAUCUUUAUUACAAUGAGGUAGCGACAUAAAUCCAGGAAAUUCAUGACUGUGUACUGGGCAUGUCAAUAUUUUUUGAAUAAAAUACUGGUACACUAAUCCAACUGCAUGGAAAUACCAAGCUGUUCUUUGAAAAUAAUUAUUGAUUUGUGCCUUAAAUUCUUUUGGCAGAGACCAUACCACAUGGGAUGCUGAACAGAGUUUCCUGUAGUUUACAGCCUCACAGUGGUAAUUAUAUGAAACUGUCUUUAGACACUGCCAGUGGAGCUUUUAAAUGGAAUAGGAAGAAUUCCUGUAGAACACCAGAAGUCUUUCAUCAUACCUCUACAUUAUCCAAAUAAAAUCAUGAUUACUUCCAUAUGAUCUUAAUUCUCAUUACAAAAGUAUAUUUUAAUUGACUUUAUGUAGAGUUAUAAAAAAGCUGAAAAGACCAUUUACCCUCCAUAGAAGCUGCUAGAAGAAAACCUGACUUUCAUGUAGAAUUUAAAUAUAUCUAAUGUGAAAAUAUUUGUGGCAUACUAGCAUUCAUUCGUUGUUUUUAGAAUACCUAUGAUAUUCUAAAUUUGAAUAGAAUUAAAAUAUAUCAUGUUAAUAAAUAAAGAAUAAUAUGUUCUUUACUCACCAGAUUUUGUGAAGUAUAUGCUACUGAUUUAUAAAAUUCCAAUUACUCUUAACACUGUAUAGGUCUAGAGUAAAGAAAUAUUUAAAUAUAGCUCAGGCAUGUUCAGGACCUGCAUGAGACUGAAGUCAGACUCUCUAAACAUGGACUACAGCAAUGCAUUUAACUUCUUAAAGCACAUUGUGUCUAGGCAUUCACGCAAACAACUUCCCUUCCAGUUAAGAUUAGUAGCCUGUAUCAUACAGUAACAAUUUACUUCCAAAGUCCUGUAAAAGAUUCUAUUGAAUCGGUAUUCUACAAAAUGGAUAAAUAUUUCACAGGCAUUCAGUUGGAAAAUACAAAAGGUGUACAUACAGUGGGAGCGUUCCUUUAAAUUGAAACAUACAUGCAUUCAAAUUUAAAAUAUAACCUGAAACACCUAAACAAAAAAAUUUUAAAAAGAGGCUUCUUGACUAGGCAAUGAGAAAGCAACUCCCCUGUCAGGGGACACAUCAACCAGUUUCUCUCUUCCUGAUGCUUAGUCACCUCUCCUGGCCAUAUUUUAUAUUCUCCUUCCUCAAACUGUACUCUAACAUAACAGUACAGUCAUUCUUCCUCUACUCCUAUCUCUGUUCUUAUUCUCUUUUUAUUUUCCUUUCCCCCAUGACCUCUCAGACAGUGAGCGUGGGUUUUCCAAAUCCCCCAGGCUCCACUCCAACCCAAGCUGGAAUAAUUAAGCAGGAGCUCAGAUCCCAAACUAGACCUGGCUUUCAUCUGCAAGAAACAUCAUUUUUACCAAGAACGAAGAAAGCAGCAACUACCUGGAUUAUGAUCAGUUUGGUCAUUCAAAUAAAGAACAACAUUUCAAAGUAUGGAAAAUUCUAGAAAUCGAAUACAGCUUUACAGAACAAACGAGAUCAAAAUUGCCCAAGCACGUUUUAAGUACCCGCUGAUACAAUUCUUGAAAAUACAUAUAUGUUUUCCUCUCAGAAUCAUAACAUCAACAAGGAAACAGUAUCUGUAGUUAUAUUUCAUUUAUGACAACAAACGAGGCACAGCCUGCCACCUGUUCCCCACCCUGUCUGCUGCAUUUUUUCUCCCCUUCUUCUGCAAAGGGAAGAGGAGACUAGAAAACACUUCAGUAGUUCUUAAGACAAACAAACAAAAAACACAAUCAAAAAAAGUAAAAUUACUCACCAAAACACUAAAAAUCAACACCAUCCCUCCCACAGCCGUGAGGGUUCUCACAACUGCCUCCGUCACAAUGUGCAUCAACUGCCGCCAUUUUGUGGCACCCGUGAGGCGCAGCUUCCCUCUGUCUCGUGCGUACCUGGCCUCUCGUGUACCCUGACCGAGCGGGCAGGGGAAGAGGCGCUCCCUGCGGGUGUGAGGCUGAGGGGAAAACUGCUUGAGAAAAAGGAUCGCGAAAACGACGGCAGAGAGAAGAAAACACGUUUCUAAGUCGCUCUUGAUCCGCCAGCUCCGUGUUUUUGGAAGCCUAGGAGCCCCGCCUGGCACUCCCGCUCCCCUUGGCAACGUACACAAACGCCCUUCGGCGAUCGCUGCUGCUCGGCUGUGAAAUGGCGGCCUCUGCUGCCUCCCCGCCUCGAGGCGCUGCUCCCGCCCCAAGUGCGAAGGAAACUGUCCUGGAGAACGGGUGAGGUGCCUGAAGACUGGAGGAAAGCCAGCGUCAUGCUGGUCUUCAAAAAAGGUAGGAAGGAGGAUCUGGGAAGUGACAGGUAAGUGUUCGGAGCGGGGCUGCGCCCCCCACUCGUCCGACGGGGCUGCGCCCCCACUCGU